UACAGAGGUCUCAAGCGUUGUUCGGAUUCAUUGGGCGUAAAGGGUGCGCAGGCGGCGGGGCAAGUCGGACGUGAAAUCCCGGGGCUUAACCCCGGAACUGCGUUCGAUACUGCCUUGCUUGAGGACUGGAGAGGAGACUGGAAUUCCUGGUGUAGCAGUGAAAUGCGUAGAUAUCAGGAGGAACGCCAAUGGCGAAGGCAAGUCUCUGGACAGUUCCUGACGCUCAUGCACGAAGGCCAGGGGAGCAAACGGG
rnacentral:rRNA from 1 species